rnacentral:rRNA from 1 species
AGUACCUUACAACUAGCCGAAUCAUUUUAUUUAGUGUACUAGGAAACAGUUGAGAAAUAAUAAUAACAUUAGUUAAAACAUUUUAACCCUAAGUAUGGGCGACAAA